AGUGAACGCUGGCGGUAGGCCUAACACAUGCAAGUCGAACGGCAGCACAGUAAGAGCUUGCUCUUACGGGUGGCGAGUGGCGGACGGGUGAGGAAUACAUCGGAAUCUACUUUUUCGUGGGGGAUAACGUAGGGAAACUUACGCUAAUACCGCAUACGACCUACGGGUGAAAGCAGGGGAUCUUCGGACCUUGCGCGAUUGAAUGAGCCGAUGUCGGAUUAGCUAGUUGGCGGGGUAAGGGCCCACCAAGGCGACGAUCCGUAGCUGGUCUGAGAGGAUGAUCAGCCACACUGGAACUGAGACACGGUCCAGACUCCUACGGGAGGCAGCAGUGGGGAAUAUUGGACAAUGGGCGCAAGCCUGAUCCAGCCAUACCGCGUGGGUGAAGAAGGCCUUCGGGUUGUAAAGCCCUUUUGCUGGGAAAGAAAAGCAGCAGGUUAAUACCCCGCUGUUCUGACGGUACCCAAAGAAUAAGCACCGGCUAACUUCGUG
rnacentral:rRNA from 1 species